rnacentral:rRNA from 1 species
UACGAAGGGGGCUAGCGUUGCUCGGAAUUACUGGGCGUAAAGCGUGCGCAGGCGGUGAUGCAAGACAGAGGUGAAAUCCCCGGGCUCAACCUGGGAACUGCCUUUGUGACUGCAUGACUAGAGUACGGUAGAGGGGGAUGGAAUUCCGCGUGUAGCAGUGAAAUGCGUAGAUAUGCGGAGGAACACCGAUGGCGAAGGCAAUCCCCUGGACCUGUACUGACGCUCAUGCACGAAAGCGUGGGGAGCAAACAGG